GAAGGUAUAGCUCAAUGGUAAAGCUUAUGCCUAGCAUGUUCAAGGUCCUGGGUUCAAUCCUCAGUACCGCCA
rnacentral:tRNA from 1 species